rnacentral:lncRNA from 1 species
GAAAUAUAUCCCACACUUGUGCAGUAGUUCUUGGACGUCUAUCUUGCAGAAUACAACUAUCUAAUCUAAGUUCUUGCACUUGAACUUGGAUACUUGCCGAGUUGAUGUGUAUUUCUUAGUGAAAGAAUAGGAAGAGAACGUUGGAAUUGAAUGAUAUGCUUAAUCCUACGACAAUAUUUAUAAUGGCUUAAACCAAUAGUUAUGACUGUUUGAAUUCAAUCUUAUCCUUUCAAAACAGUUGUAACUGUUUCGUAAACAAUUGUAUCAUUUCGUAAAAAACUGAAUAGUAAAAACAAUAAUGUAAAUACAAUA